UACCACAGCUAGGUUUAAUCUGAAGGUCUGUAAUUUUAAUAUAAUAUUAAAAACAUUAUUAUUAGGCUAUAAUCCUGCUUUAUCGACAGCCAGGAUGGGCUAGCAAAAUAUAGAAAAUAGAAAUACCUUUAGGCUAUAACCUAGACUAGCACAAAUGACACCCCACGCAUUCUUUAAAAAUUAAACAAUCAUUUUUAUUGUAUUAUUUCUUUUUUCUUUUUCUUUUAAAGUGCUAACUCUUGCUGCGUCUGUCUGCUGCAGCCACUUCAGAUGAGGCUUAUUAUACUAAAGACUUGCUUACUUGAAAAACGAUGUGGAUUAAUGAUCUGAAAAAAAGGACAAAAAGUAAAUCACAGUGUCAGUAAACAGCAAUUCAGAAUCAUCCACUGAAAGGUUUUUCUAAAGACUGAACAAUUUUUAUUCAUGAAUAAUGGACUCCGUUCACUAUAUUUAAGUACAAGAUACCUAUAUCACGUCACAUCACGUAAUUUUCUGUCACAUGUGCUAUAAUGUCUGAAUGGAACAUAUAUCCACCUGCCACGCAAAGAUUUUACCCCCUCUCUUAUCUUGCCAUCUCAUAGUUAGGUAAAUCAUUUUAUAUUUCUGGGUAGAAACGCAUUUUUGUUGAGGCUGUAUAAGACGGACUACAUUCAAAGCACUUUUCAAAACUGCCCAAUAUGUUCAUGGAUGUAUUCGAAUUAAAGGGAGGCAAAGGAUUAGCUUGCAGUGACAUCUUUCAUAAGGACAAUUUAUGAGGCCAAGUGACUCUAAAAAAAAAAAUCAUGUUUAUUAUUUUAUUAAAUCAGAACUAAUUGUUAACUCAACAAAUUAAAUAUAAAUAACUGGAUACUUAUAACUAAUUAAAUAGUAAAUGUAUUGAUUAGAGUUACCAUAGACAAAAGAUUUUUCUGGUUGGCUAAAUUGCACAUUAAUUUCUGCUUAAAUACUGGGUGCAUGGAGGAAUAUGCAUAAAUCUCACCGCAAAAACAGGCUAAUAAAUUAACGAGGCAUUUUAAUUGUUUCUAAAUGAAGUAUGUGGGGCUAAGACGCCAGGCCUGGUUGUCAGGCGCUGUAUAACAGCGCUUCCCCGCGCUCAGAAAAGGUGCAGAAGAUCAUCAAAAAUCGUGAUAUCGCAUAAGCAGUAUGAAACGACUGUUAUCAUUUCUGAAAACAAACACAAUGGAGUUACAAAACUGUAUUGCACAUCGCAGCCCUGCUCGAGGAUUAUUCAUAUUUUGGAUUUGUAGGCUACGAGAUGGUCUAAUCGGCAUUUCCAGUUAACAUUACAACUCGAGACAGUUCUGCAUUGAAUAAAGUAAAGGUAAACCAUGUCUUUUGUGUAAUUCUGGCCCGCCGCUGCUGUGGGUAGAGCACUAUGCUAGCGUUGGUUCCGCCGGUGUUCUCCGGCGGUCAGAAGAAAUAGCGGUGCUGUGUUAAUAGAUUUCACGACACUAGCAAUGGGUACAGACAUGUAUUUUGAGCUAGCUGUCACAAAAAUAGACUGGACCAAUGAGGUUUUGCUAACUUUAUAACCUAAAAGAGAUCAAGUACUUUUGGCAGAUUUUGACACAUUGGUAGGCUAAAACAAAAAUCUAUUUCAGUGACUGCAGCACUGCGUCGGUUACUACAUUAACCAUCAUGUUAACGAUCAACCUAACAGUAUUUGAUUUGGUACAAUUCAUUCAUAUCGAACAUUAAGCAUGCUUACCUGUACGCUUGUGCCAAGGUCCAGAAAUGAUCUGUGUCCGGUGCAGUACGUUGGUGUUGAUCUCCCGGUCAACCAAAAAUUGAUGGAUUUUCAAUCAUAUUUCCCAGUCAACUAUAUAUCGAUGCAUUUUCAAUCAUAUUUCCCGGUCAACUAUAUGCCGAUGACUCUUCAACAACAGCGUCGUUUCCCGGUCAACUAUAAAUCAAUGACUUUUCAACACAUUCAGCGAUCGCCCGGUAAACCAAAUAUCAAUGCUUAAUCAAUCAUAAAGAUAACUAUAGAUCAAUGUUGUUCCAAUAUUGUUGCCAUCAACAUUAAUAACAUCAGGUUUUCAUCGAUAUGGUAAUGGUGAUUCAACAUUUAUUUUGCAUUGAAAUUUCAACAUCAACCAUAAUGAUGAUUCAGAUGGAAAAACAAUGUUUAUUCAAUGUUGGCUUGCUGUCUGGGUAUAAGCUAAUUAAUUUAACCUAAAAGUCUGCACUGUGGGGUCAAUCGGUGACGUCACUUACAUGAAUGAACUAAUGGGCUGAAACUAAUUCAAACACGAUUUGAACUUUGAUUGCAAACAAAUAUUGAUAAAUUGUACUAUGAUUUCAGGAGCGUCAGAAUAAAAUACCUAAAACGGGAAGUUACAAAAAAAUUUGUAAUGUGAGCUGCUGACAGAGAUACAGGAAACACAGAGCUGGAGCGGAGCAGAUCUCCUGUCGAAGAACAUCUCCAAAGCACCAUGAACCAUCUGACUAGGCAGUUCGUGAAGACGGAUAACCUGGACAGAAGUCGGUUCCAGAUCCAGCCUCCACACCAGACUUCUCACUCACAAGGAUUGCUGUCUACUAGAUAUUAUGUGUACUCUUCAGACUUAGGUUCAUGCAGAUGUUAUUCAGGGACAUGAACACUUGAAUACUGCAAAAAUAGAGAAACUACCUUAUUUAAGAAUUUUGCGUUAAUUGCGUGAACAUUAAACAAAUAUAUAUUUAUUUUACUGUUUUUUGUUUUUUAUUCCAAAGCACCUAAAAGCCAAUUCACACUGCCAUACUCCAACAUGGUGAACACACUGACCAAGCAAAACAAAUAAGCAUGUUUUUAUAGUUUUUGUGAAAGUGUGAACUGACAAUGCUGUAUGUUAGGUGUGAGAUUCAUUCAACUUGG